GUGCUCACUUUGGCAGCACAUACACUAGAAUUGGAAUGACACAGAGAAGAUGAGCACGGCCUCUUUGGAAGGAUGACAUGCAAAUUUGUGAAGUGUUACGUAUUUUU